UACAGAGGUCUCAAGCGUUGUUCGGAUUCAUUGGGCGUAAAGGGCGCGUAGGCUGCGGGGCAAGUCGGGUGUGAAAUCUCAGAGCUCAACUCUGAAACUGCACUCGAUACUGCUUUGCUUGAGGACUGGAGAGGAGAUUGGAAUUCACGGUGUAGCAGUGAAAUGCGUAGAUAUCGUGAGGAAGACCAGUGGCGAAGGCGGAUCUCUGGACAGUACCUGACGCUGAGGCGCGAAGGCCAGGGGAGCAAACGGG
rnacentral:rRNA from 1 species